rnacentral:misc_RNA from 1 species
GGAAGGAUCAUUAACAAAAUGAAUAUACGAGGUGCGAGUAUGUGAGCGUAAGCGAGCAUACUUGCACCGAGUCUGACAUGAUAGUGUAUUGUGAACGCAAGUGAGCAGUAUCAUUAAUAUGUCGGUGCAGUACGUUUACGUAUUGCAAGCGAAGGGAAUAGUAAUAUGUGAAUAUUUCUAUUCUCAGUAUGCACACCAACAGUAACGAUAUCGUCCUUGUUGCAAUGCACACCACAACGACAAUACCUCACGGUAUCGUCGUUGUGUCGCCGUGCAGCUAUGCUCGUCCUAACGGACUUGCAUAACUGCAUAUACACAAUAGUUGACAAAAUACAACACAACAGACUUUUAACAAUGGAUCUCUUGGCUCUUGCAGCGAUGAAGAACGCGGCGAACUGCGAAAAGUAAUGUGACCUGCAAGCCUUGUGAAACAUCCAAUCUUUGAACGCAACAUGCACCAACACGUUGGUAUGCUUGUUUGAGAAUCGUGAAAAAAUGAAAAAUGGGCGAUAUGUAAUUGUCUGAAACGCAGCCGCAAGGUAUAUAUGGAUAGCAUCCAGUAUGUAUACCAGCAUAAUGAAUGGCGUGAGCCAUUUAUUAUGCGGUGGCAAUGUGAUGAUUGUGUGAUGAUAUUGGUUCAUGUUAUGCAUGAAUCCAUGUCAUUGCAUGAACAGCACAAUUCCGAAUACUUGAUGUUGCUAACGCAACACCACGGAUUCAACACAUUGAUCUCAAAUCAAGCAAGGAUACCUGCUGAAUUUAAGCAUAUUAAUAAGCAGAGGAAAAGAAACUAACAAGGAUUCCCCGAGUAGCGGCGAGCGAACAGGGAAGAGCUCAAAAUUGAAAUCUAGCACCUUUGGUGUUCGAAUUGUAAUUUAUAGGUAUGUCAGUGGUAAAUAGGGAACGUGUCAAGUCCUUUGGAAAAAGGCAACAGAGAGGGUGACAUUCCCGUUGACACGGACGCAAUUUACGGAGAUAUACCGACGAGUCGGAUUGCUUGGGAAUGCAGUCCAAAAUGGGUGGUACACAGCAUCUAAAGCUAAAUAACGGCAAGAGACCGAUAGCGAACAAGUACCGUGAGGGAAAGAUGAAAAGAACUUUGAAAAGAGAGUUAAAGAGUACGUGAAAUUGUUAAAGGGGAAGCGAAUGAGACUGAUAUUGUUGCUUUGCGUAUUGUUCAUGGAAACGGGGUAAUGGAAAGUGAUCAAUGCGUUGAUUUUAUAGACAUUAGCUUAUGCAUGAAUGGUACGUUUAGGGAUGUAAACGGUCUUAUACGACCCGUCUUGAAACACGGACCAAGGAGUCUAACAAGUAUGCGAGUAUUUCGAGUGUAAAACUCUUGUGCGCAAGGAAAGUGAGAUGAGUGAAUACGUAAGUAUGCAACUCAAUACAGAUGGUACUAUUGUACGGUUUGUAUACAGCACAGUUGUUGGGACCCGAAAGAUGGUGAACUAUGCCUGAAUAGGGUAAAGCCAGAGGAAACUCUGGUGGAGGCUCGUAGACAUUCUGACGUGCAAAUCGAUGUUCGAAUUUGGGUAUAGGGGCGAAAGACUAAUCGAACCAUCUAGUAGCUGGUUCCCUC